ACGGGUUUUAUUUGUUUUCUAAUUAGUAUAUUACAUUUAUUUGGAGAAUAUAAAUAAAUGUAUGUAUGUUUAUUAGAUAUAGUUCAUUCUUUAUUUUUAUUUUUUUUGCUUUGUUCAUGGUUUUUGAUUGUAUACAUAGAUUAUUAGUUAAUUUCUAAUGUAAUUAUUGAAUAAUAUUGUAUUCAAUAAUUACUAACCAAACAAUAUGAAAUCCAAAUGAUGGUAGGACAAAAUUUAUGUCAUCGGUAUAUUAAAUGAAAACUUAUUUUAAAAUAUGACUUAAAUGGAAAUUUAACUAAAAUAUUAAACUCAAUUUCUUAAAUAGACUUUAAAAUAAAAGUAAAAAUUUCACUUCUUAGUUCUUGGUUUCUUCCUUUGAUCAUCGAUUGGUUCUUGACCUUCGUCACGUUCUUCGCGUUUUGUUCCAUAAUUUUC
rnacentral:lncRNA from 1 species